CUCUCUGUGACUCCUACGGGAGGCAGCAGUGGGGAAUAUUGCACAAUGGGCGCAAGCCUGAUGCAGCAACGCCGUGUGAGUGAAGAAGGUUUUCGGAUCGUAAAACUCUGUCCUAAGGGAAGAAACAAAUGACGGUACCUUAGGAGGAAGCCCCGGCUAACUACGUGCCAGCAGCCGCGGUAAUACGUAGGGGGCAAGCGUUAUCCGGAAUCACUGGGCGUAAAGGGUGCGUAGGCGGCUUAGCAAGCCAGGGGUGAAAGGCAUUGGCUCAACCAAUGUAAGCCUUUGGAACUGUUAGGCUUGAGUGCAGGAGAGGUAAGUGGAAUUCCUAGUGUAGAGGUGAAAUUCGUAGAUAUUAGGAGGAACACCAGUGGCGAAGGCGACUUACUGGACUGUAACUGACGCUGAUGCACGAAAGCGUGGGUAGCGAACAGGAUUAGAUACCCUGGUAG
rnacentral:rRNA from 1 species